rnacentral:tRNA from 1 species
GGUGCCGUAUGCAAAUUGGUAAAGCCACCUGUCUUACCCUUCGGGAAGGCUAACGCCUACAAGCAGGAGAUUGCGGGUACUCUUCGAGAAGCCGCUUCGCGUCUACAAUUCCCAUCGGCACUG